ACAUCAUUAAAUUUAUUAUUUAAUUAAUUAGAAAAAUCAAGGUUCUUUUAUAAAAUAAAAUGAAAAAAUAAUUGAAAGAAUUAUAGACACAAGAUAGAAAUAAUGAAUGGAUAAAGACAAAUAGAUACAAUACAGCAGAGAUGUUGAAUAUUUUCUCAUAGAACGUAACUGCCCCUCCUAUCUCGAAACGAUACAUUGCAUCAACGAAUCGACGUCGUUACAAUCUCAGAGUGGCAUAUGCCUCGGAAUGCAUAAUUAAUAAUUCUACCUACUUGCUUUCAAUCUACCUUCAUGUGUCGCAUCUAAAGCAGAUAAUAUUGAACCUCAGCAUCUCUCGAGAGUAAACGGAUAUCAAAGAUAAAAGGAACAUCGCCUUCUUCAUUCCUUUUCGUCACUAAUUUGAAAUAAUCGAGAAUCGAUGGUGGACCGAUUCCGGAGGCUGUGCUGUCGCCUUACCGUUCUCCCACGGACGUUACCUUCUAUGCAGUGUACCAAGCGCCUACACAAGUAUAUUGGUUAAUGGUGAAGAAAGUUUUCAUUUGUGGUCAUCUCAAACAGAGAAACCCACUUUUACCGAUUAAGGCGAAGAGCAAC